GCAGAGCAUCCUACGGGAGGCAGCAGUGGGGAAUAUUGCACAAUGGGCGCAAGCCUGAUGCAGCCAUGCCGCGUGUAUGAAGAAGGCCUUCGGGUUGUAAAGUACUUUCAGCAGUGAGGAAGGUGGAUAUGUUAAUAGCAUAUUCAUUUGACGUUAGCUGCAGAAGAAGCACCGGCUAACUCCGUGCCAGCAGCCGCGGUAAUACGGAGGGUGCGAGCGUUAAUCGGAAUUACUGGGCGUAAAGCGCAUGCAGGUGGUUUGUUAAGUCAGAUGUGAAAGCCCGGGGCUCAACCUCGGAAUUGCAUUUGAAACUGGCAAACUAGAGUACUGUAGAGGGGGUAGAAUUUCAGGUGUAGCGGUGAAAUGCGUAGAGAUCUGAAGGAAUACCGGUGGCGAAGGCGGCCCCCUGGACAGAUACUGACACUCAGAUGCGAAAGCGUGGGGAGCAAACAGGAUUAGAUACCCUGGUAG
rnacentral:rRNA from 1 species